ACAAAUGUAGUUUAAAAAAAACAGCUUACUUACAAUAACCAUAUGUCCUUUAAACAGGACCUUUUGUA
rnacentral:tRNA from 1 species